ensembl:lncRNA
GUAAAUGUCACGAAGUGACUUUGAGGGCGGAACCAAAAAGUGAGAGGAGAAGUUCCGCCCGGACCGGAAAUAUGCAAACCCUUGUCACUUCCGGAAACUCCGGACGACCCAAAUCAAGGGAAAUCUGCAGCAGGUGUGUCCAAUGAGGUGGCGAUUGCAGACAGGGCAUUCAUGAGUAUAAAGAGGGCAUCGAGGAUACAGGAAGGUGUGUUGUUUUUGCCUCCCAAGGAACGCCACAAGUGGGACGGAGUGUUUGGGCGCUGGAGUAGGGCGAAGCAGAUGAGAGUAAUUGUGGAGUCGCUAAGCGAAUUGGAGGAUUUGAAAACGGCCACUGGAACAGGUUUGCCAAAGUGAAGUUUAUGGAAAGAAGUCGUACUCACUCGUGUCUGUUGUACGAAGGUGCCGUAGGGAAAUAGUGACAUUGUGGAACAACGAAGACUGUGAGUACAUUGGAUUGCUUAGAUUGGUUGUCUUAUAUCUGGAUGAGAAAGAGAGCGGGAGAAGAUCAGUAUCACGAAGACUGUGAGUACAUUGGAUUGCUUACAUAUCACUGCUCAUACUUGGAUAUGGAUAACUAAUACCUGUUGGAGUGAUUAACAGCUUGUUGAGCGGCCCCAUCGUUGGAGGACGAGACGAGUGGGUGAGCCGAAGUAGAGCGUGGGUGAAUGGAUGUUAUUUGGCUGUGGCCACACCGUAAAGUUUGGAGCACUUACCGUGACAGCGACUGCAAAUUCCUCCAGGACGAAAUCCGACCGGGUGUGGAGUACCGACCUUAAAAAUCACUGAAGUGUGUGUAGUGCAGUGGGUGAGUCUGUCUUUGACGUGUGUGCACUAAAGCUUUGCAGUGCUGUGCCGUGUCCCUGUUGUCUGUACUUGCCCUCCAGGCCGAGAAAAGUUCCUGUUGGAAAGAACGUAGGCUGCCGUGGCGGUGCCCACCUAUCCCACCUACGCCCGCCUAUAACUCCGUUCUCCGGACCCAGCUCGAAGGUGCUCGAAGUGUGAAAGCAAAACAAGGUAUUGUGCGGAUAUUGUGGGGAAAGCUAUUGCCCUUGAAUACGCUCUGUAAGCCCAGCGUGAAGAUACAGCCACUUGUUGAAUACUUACCUCUCUGUACGAGCUAAAAGCUAUUGCCCUUGAAUACGCCCUGUAAGCCCAGCGUGAAGAUACAGUUACUUGUUGAAUACUCACCUGUUUGUACGAGCUAAAAGCUACUGACCUUGAAUACGCCCUGUAAAGCCCAGUGUGAAGAUACAGCUACUUGUUGAAUACUUACCCGCCUGCACGAGUUAAAAGCCAUUGCUCUGGAACCCGCUCAGUAAGCCUAGUGUGAAGAGUCAGUCACCUUGCUCAAUAUCUAUCUGUGAUACGAGUAAGAAGUUACUCGCUUCUGAUAUACCGGCGGACAUCCAGGGGCAUGGCCUAGUUACCUUGCUACAUCCUUACCGUUGUUCCUUACCUGUGCCCUCAGGGAUUUGGGUGUUACCUUAUAUCUACCUAGGAGGUCUAUGGGAGUGGAGGAGCUGUCCAGACGCUGGUGAAGAGAAGAGAAGGGCGCCACGGGAAAUCAAGCAGUUAAGGAAGGACUUAGGAUUAGUCAGGAGGCUGGUGGAAGUUCUGGGAAAGGACGGAAGAGCCCUUGCCCCCCCCUCCCCUGGUGAUUACUUACCAAAGACCUCCAGAGUUCUCAG